UACGUAGGUGACAAGCGUUGUCCGGAUUUACUGGGCGUAAAGAGCGCGCAGGCGGUCGUUCAAGUCGAGUGUGAAAGCCCCCGGCUCAACCGGGGAGGGUCAUUGGAAACUGGAAGGCUUGAGUGCAGAAGAGAAGAGCGGAAUUCCACGUGUAGCGGUGAAAUGCGUAGAGAUGUGGAGGAACACCAGUGGCGAAGGCGGCUCUUUGGUCUGUAACUGACGCUGAGGCGCGAAAGCGUGGGGAGCAAACAGG
rnacentral:rRNA from 1 species